UAUACAGCGAAACUGCGAAUGGCUCAUUAUAUAAGUUAUCGUUUAUUUGAUAGUACCUUACUACUUGGAUAACCGUGGUAAUUCUAGAGCUAAUACAUGCUAAAAAUCCCGACUUCGGAAGGGAUGUAUUUAUUAGAUUAAAAACCAAUGCCCUUCGGGGCUCACUGGUGAUUCAUAAUAACUUCUCGAAUCGCAUGGCCUUGCGCCGGCGAUGGUUCAUUCAAAUUUCUUCCCUAUCAACUUUCGAUGCUAGAGUAGUGUUCUAGCAUGGUUACAACGGGUAACGGAGGGUUAGGGCUCGACCCCGGAGAAGGAGCCUGAGAAACGGCUACUACAUCCAAGGAAGGCAGCAGGCGCGCAAAUUACCCAAUCCCGACUCGGGGAGGUAGUGACGAUAAAUACUGAUACAGGGCUCUUUUGGGUCUUGUAAUUGGAAUGAGUACAAUUUAAAUCCCUUAACGAGGAACAAUUGGAGGGCAAGUCUGGUGCCAGCAGCCGCGGUAAUUCCAGCUCCAAUAGCGUAUAUUAAAGUUGUUGUGGUUAAAAAGCUCGUAGUAGAACCUUGGGCCUGGCUGGCCGGUCCGCCUCACCGCGUGCACUGGUCCGGCCGGGCCUUUCCCUCUGUGGAACCGCAUGCCCUUCACUGGGUGUGCCGGGGAAACAGGACUUUUACUUUGAAAAAAUUAGAGUGCUCCAGGCAGGCCUAUGCUCGAAUACAUUAGCAUGGAAUAAUAGAAUAGGACGUGUGGUUCUAUUUUGUUGGUUUCUAGGACCGCCGUAAUGAUUAAUAGGGACAGUCGGGGGCAUCAGUAUUCAAUUGUCAGAGGUGAAAUUCUUGGAUUUAUUGAAGACUAACUACUGCGAAAGCAUUUGCCAAGGAUGUUUUCAUUUAUCAGGAACGAAAGUUAGGGGAUCGAAGACGAUCAGAUACCGUCGUAGUCUUAACCAUAAACUAUGCCGACUAGGGAUCGGACGAUGUUAUUUUUUGACUCGUUCGGCACCUUACGAGAAAUCAAAGUG
rnacentral:rRNA from 1 species